rnacentral:rRNA from 1 species
CAUGCAGUCGAACGAUGAAGACCGUGCUUGCACGGUCGGAUUAGUGGCGAACGGGUGAGUAUCACGUGAGUAACCUUCCCUUAACUCUGGGAUAAGCCCGGGAAACUGGGUCUAAUACCGGAUACGACCAGUCCUCGCAUGGGGUGCUGGUGGAAAGAUUUAUCGGUUUUGGAUGGACUCGCGGCCUAUCAGCUUGUUGGUGAGGUAAUGGCUCACCAAGGCGAUGACGGGUAGCCGGCCUGAGAGGGUGACCGGCCACACUGGGACUGAGACACGGCCCAGACUCCUACGGGAGGCAGCAGUGGGGAAUAUUGCACAAUGGGCGAAAGCCUGAUGCAGCGACGCCGCGUGCGGGAUGACGGCCUUCGGGUUGUAAACCGCUUUCAGCAGGGAAGAAGCGAAAGUGACGGUACCUGCAGAAGAAGCGCCGGCUAACUACGUGCCAGCAGCCGCGGUAAUACGUAGGGCGCGAGCGUUAUCCGGAAUUAUUGGGCGUAAAGAGCUCGUAGGCGGUUUGUCACGUCUGCUGUGAAAGCCCGGGGCUCAACUCCGGGUGUGCAGUGGGUACGGGCAGACUAGAGUGCAGUAGGGGAGACUGGAAUUCCUGGUGUAGCGGUGAAAUGCGCAGAUAUCAGGAGGAACACCGAUGGCGAAGGCAGGUCUCUGGGCUGUUACUGACGCUGAGGAGCGAAAGCAUGGGGAGCGAACAGGAUUAGAUACCCUGGUAGUCCAUGCCGUAAACGUUGGGCACUAGGUGUGGGGGACAUUCCACGUUUUCCGCGCCGUAGCUAACGCAUUAAGUGCCCCGCCUGGGGAGUACGGCCGCAAGGCUAAAACUCAAAGGAAUUGACGGGGGCCCGCACAAGCGGCGGAGCAUGCGGAUUAAUUCGAUGCAACGCGAAGAACCUUACCAAGGCUUG